UGCACCACUCAAUGGAUUAAUACAUGCAGUCAGAUGGUACCACUGAUGACUGGUGACAUAAACAAUACUUUGAUGUUUGUCACAACAUACGAUGCGCGUGCUCUAGAUUUGAUGAGUAAGUAAGUAUUUCUGGAUUAGUUUGAUACCUUUCAGUUGAUGCUAGAAAUGCACUGAACCUGUGAUUGAGUCAAUGUUUCCUUACUUGAAUCAGUUUUAGAAGAAAUAUAUUCUGAGUUUCACGAAUUGAUUAUUUACAGUGACUUGCUUCAAGAUGAUUACGUCGGACAGCUGGAUUUGGAUGCUGAUGAGGAGGAUGCACUACUUGAAAAAGAAUUUGAGAACCGGCACUCAAUUUUUCUUGAUCAGGAUGGGGAAAAAGUACACAGGUAUAAUUUUGAUGAUGAUGAGGAGGAGGACAUUCUGGACAUUGGAGUGCCAGAAGAUUUGGCCUUAAUAGAAUCCGAUUACUCAGCAGCUGUCGAGAAAGCGCCUCAAAGAAUAGUUGAGCAAAAGGAUUCAACCAUCACAAUUACAAAUUUUCCAAAACCCACCACCCAAAACAACCCCAUCUCUAUAUCAAGCAGUGCGACGA
rnacentral:lncRNA from 1 species